AGCACGGUCAAAAAGGAAGGUUUUUAGGUGGGACUUGAAAAAGGGGAGAGAGGCGACAAGGCGGAGGAAUUGAAGGAGAGUGUUCCAGAGUUUGGGGAUGUAAUGGCUGAAAGCUGAAAGCGUGACCUACGAUGGUGUAGCAGAGGCACGAGGGACAAGCAGGAGGCUGGUGCCAGUCGAGCAGAGGUGCCGAGUGGUGGAUUGGGGAAUGAGGAGAGAAUGCGGGGUUGUGACCCAGAAGUUAUGGUUGGUGAACUUUCAUCUGACAAAUAUCAACCCAGUGAAAUGAUUUUUACUACCAGAAUUGGUUAACCCAAGACACAGCACCUUGUCUUUCAGGAUUGCCCUUAACUAGGUGGACCUGCACUGAGUCCAGGUACUCAACAAUGAAUAUUCGCACACUCACCUCUCAUCUCUGCUGGGAAGGUGCCCAGGUCUGACACUACCAGCUUUCUCUGCAGCAGCAAAGAGAGAGCCAGCUAGCAGCAGUAUUACACAUGUACCACAGGCUAUUUCAUUCAGAGAUGUUGGAAGAUAGACUUCUGACAUGAAGGAUGCCAGCACUCUUGCUGGGAGAAUGGUAUGUACAGCAUGGGCUGAAGGCUUGGAAAAAAUGAAUAAACUGCUUUUUUUUAAAA